rnacentral:lncRNA from 1 species
GCAUCAUGUGCGUUAUCUGAUCAUAGAUGGACUAUCUUUCAAAUGUUUGGGGGCUGUUGUGAUCCCCAAAAACAUAAAUUAGGUUAAAAAUUCUAAUCAUGGUGGUUUUUGUCACCCAAUUAAAAAAUAUUAAAAACUACGGUUAUACCUAGAAAGGUUUGAGUAACUCUUGGCCUUAAAAUGAGCUUUAUAUUUGAAAAUACUGAGAGCGAAUACAUUAGGUGGAGAAGAAUAUUCUUUCCUUCUCAGUGCCUAUCGGGAGGGUUACACUGCCAUGUGGAAAUAGAGGGAGCCUGAAGGGACUAAGCUUAGCAGAGGUUACGGAGACAGGACACACUGGAGAUCUCUCCGCCUCAACAAAGAGACUGCAGCCUAACCCAAAUCCAGGGAGUGAGGCAAAAAUGCCAUUCCAAUGCAAGCAAGCACCAAGCUCUUGGGGUAGAAGGCCUUGUCUGAGGAGGAGAGCUGGGUCAAGGUUAUGCGGCCUUUUGUAGUAGCCAAACCCUGAAUCAAGCUCAGUUCCAGUCAUUUACUGGGGAAGGUGGUUUUUCUUAGGGGUUUAGGGAAUCGGAGUUAGUUAGAUUUUAACUCUAGGAGGCAAGAGUAUAGUGGAAGUGAAGGAAGAAAGCCCCUAAGGAGCCAUCUCUGGGGACACUGCAGAGUGGCCAACGGAGUGACACGUCAGGGCACAGAAAGGGUCCAGAGUAGAAGAAAUAGGAGCAGAACAGGUCAGGAAGGUGGACUGGACUCUCCAAGGGAGGGCUGAGAGCUUACCCACCCAAAGUGGAUCCCAGCGCCUCAGGCUUCAUGAUUCUUUGGUUUCUUGGUCACCAGAGGUAGAGCAUGGAGGUGUCUGGAAGCUGAGGACACUUAGGAGGGAAGGAGCCCCUGCUGACACAUCCUGUUGGUUCUGGGGUGGAGUGUAGGCAGGAGUGAUGUGCUGUUCCAGGAGAUAUAGUUUCACGUGAAAAUUGCUCCCAGGAGUUUUGUAACAGCAGUCUUCACGAUUAUUGCAGGUAGCUGACCGAGCUAGGACUACUCAGCAGGACUGAUAAUCCACACUAGUUUACCUCGAAAAUAGAUCAGAAAUCUACAUUCACAUCACCUCCCUUAAGAUGAGCCACGGUGAAAAUACACAGAGAUAAGAAUCAGUAAUGCAGUCUUAGCUGGAGCUGCAUGGAAUGGACCAUCGUGCGCGUCUGAGGCCACACAGUGUUUGUAGGUUAAUAGAGAGGCUGACUUUGUCUUCA